rnacentral:pre_miRNA from 1 species
AUGUAGGGCAAUCUGUCUUUAAGUAGGGGCAAAUUACUCUUAAAGAAAAAAAAGGAAUCCUAGAUAGUUUUCCCUUCAAGUCAAGCAUCUUGU